rnacentral:rRNA from 1 species
GACGAACGCUGGCGGCGUGCUUAACACAUGCAAGUCGAACGGAAAGGCCCUGCUUUUGUGGGGUGCUCGAGUGGCGAACGGGUGAGUAACACGUGAGUAACCUGCCCUUGACUUUGGGAUAACUUCAGGAAACUGGGGCUAAUACCGGAUAGGAGCUCCUGCUGCAUGGUGGGGGUUGGAAAGUUUCGGCGGUUGGGGAUGGACUCGCGGCUUAUCAGCUUGUUGGUGGGGUAGUGGCUACCAAGGCUUUGACGGGUAGCCGGCCUGAGAGGGGGACCGGCCACAUUGGGACUGAGAUACGGCCCAGACUCCUACGGGAGGCAGCAGUGGGGAAUAUUGCACAAUGGGCGGAAGCCUGAUGCAGCAACGCCGCGUGCGGGAUGACGGCCUUCGGGUUGUAACCCGCUUUCGCCUGUGACGAAGCGUGAGUGACGGUAGUGAGUAAAGAAGCACCGGCUAACUACGU